UAACUACUGACCGUAACCCUGAGUGUCUCCAGGGGGGGACUGUCCCUGUAACUACUGACUGUAACCCUGAGUGUCUCUUGGGGGGGACUGUCCCUGUAACUACUGACUGUAACCCUGAGUGUCUCCGGGGGGGACUGUCCCUGUAACUACUGACCGUAACACUGAGUGUCUCCAGGGGGGGACUGUCCCUGUAACUACUGACUGUAACCUUGAGUGUCUCCAGGGGGGGACUGUCCCUGUAACUACUGAACGUAACCCUGAGUGUCUCCAGGGGGGGACUUUCCCUGUAACUACUGACCGUAACCCUGAGUGUCUCCGGGGGGGGACUGUCCCUGUAACUACUGACCGUAACCCUAAGUGUCUCCGGGGGGGGACUGUCCCUGUAACUACUGACCGUAACACUGAGUGUCUCCAGGGGGGGACUGUCCCUGUAACUACUGACCGUAACCCUAAGUGUCUCUGGGGGGGGACUGUCCCUGUAACUACUGACCGUAACACUGAGUGUCUCCGGGGGGGACUGUCCCUGUAACUACUGACUGAUCAGGGCGUCUGGUAAAUACUGUAAAUGUAAACACCAGUCACGUCGCAUCUCGACGUCUCACGUGACUGACGUCAUGACGUUUUAUUUUCGCGACGCGCCGGCGGCGACCACGAGGCGGACAUGAGCGCGAAACGGCGGCCGGGCGCCGGUGGCGGAGCUCCGGUGAAGAAGAGCCGCGGCGCGGGUCGCGGGCAGCUCAACGCGGAGCUCGACGACGCGGCGGCGCGGAGCGCCCUGCGGGACGCGUGGAGGAGCCGCGGGAGCUGCUCGCACGGGACUCUAGAGGCGGACAGUUCCCCGUUCGUUCCACAGCAAAAACACGGACCUGUACAACUUUACACAGGUACACACCGACAUGUACAACUUUACACAACUACACACCGACAUACA
rnacentral:lncRNA from 1 species